rnacentral:rRNA from 2 species
UGCCAGUGAUAAACUGGAGGAAGGUGGGGAUGACGUCAAGUCAUCAUGGCCCUUACGACCAGGGCUACACACGUGCUACAAUGGCGCAUACAAAGAGAAGCGACCUCGCGAGAGCAAGCGGACCUCAUAAAGUGCGUCGUAGUCCGGAUUGGAGUCUGCAACUCGACUCCAUGAAGUCGGAAUCGCUAGUAAUCGUAGAUCAGAAUGCUACGGUGAAUACGUUCCCGGGCCUUGUACACACCGCCCGUCACACCAUGGGAGUGGGUUGCAAAAGAAGUAGGUAGCUUAACCUUCGGGAGGGCGCUUACCACUUUGUGAUUCAUGACUGGGGUGAAGUCGUAACAAGGUAACCGUAGGGGAACCUGCGGUUGGAUCACCUCCUU